GAACGCUGGCGGCGUGCCUAAUACAUGCAAGUCGAGCGAACGGACGAGAAGCUUGCUUCUCUGAUGUUAGCGGCGGACGGGUGAGUAACACGUGGAUAACCUACCUAUAAGACUGGGAUAACUUCGGGAAACCGGAGCUAAUACCGGAUAAUAUUUUGAACCGCAUGGUUCAAAAGUGAAAGACGGUCUUGCUGUCACUUAUAGAUGGAUCCGCGCUGCAUUAGCUAGUUGGUAAGGUAACGGCUUACCAAGGCAACGAUGCAUAGCCGACCUGAGAGGGUGAUCGGCCACACUGGAACUGAGACACGGUCCAGACUCCUACGGGAGGCAGCAGUAGGGAAUCUUCCGCAAUGGGCGAAAGCCUGACGGAGCAACGCCGCGUGAGUGAUGAAGGUCUUCGGAUCGUAAAACUCUGUUAUUAGGGAAGAACAUAUGUGUAAGUAACUGUGCACAUCUUGACGGUACCUAAUCAGAAAGCCACGGCUAACUACGUGCCAGCAGCCGCGGUAAUACGUAGGUGGCAAGCGUUAUCCGGAAUUAUUGGGCGUAAAGCGCGCGUAGGCGGUUUUUUAAGUCUGAUGUGAAAGCCCACGGCUCAACCGUGGAGGGUCAUUGGAAACUGGAAAACUUGAGUGCAGAAGAGGAAAGUGGAAUUCCAUGUGUAGCGGUGAAAUGCGCAGAGAUAUGGAGGAACACCAGUGGCGAAGGCGACUUUCUGGUCUGUAACUGACGCUGAUGUGCGAAAGCGUGGGGAUCAAACAGGAUUAGAUACCCUGGUAGUCCACGCCGUAAACGAUGAGUGCUAAGUGUUAGGGGGUUUCCGCCCCUUAGUGCUGCAGCUAACGCAUUAAGCACUCCGCCUGGGGAGUACGACCGCAAGGUUGAAACUCAAAGGAAUUGACGGGGACCCGCACAAGCGGUGGAGCAUGUGGUUUAAUUCGAAGCAACGCGAAGAACCUUACCAAAUCUUGACAUCCUUUGACAACUCUAGAGAUAGAGCUUUCCCCUUCGGGGGACAAAGUGACAGGUGGUGCAUGGUUGUCGUCAGCUCGUGUCGUGAGAUGUUGGGUUAAGUCCCGCAACGAGCGCAACCCUUAAGCUUAGUUGCCAUCAUUAAGUUGGGCACUCUAAGUUGACUGCCGGUGACAAACCGGAGGAAGGUGGGGAUGACGUCAAAUCAUCAUGCCCCUUAUGAUUUGGGCUACACACGUGCUACAAUGGACAAUACAAAGGGCAGCGAAACCGCGAGGUCAAGCAAAUCCCAUAAAGUUGUUCUCAGUUCGGAUUGUAGUCUGCAACUCGACUACAUGAAGCUGGAAUCGCUAGUAAUCGUAGAUCAGCAUGCUACGGUGAAUACGUUCCC
rnacentral:rRNA from 1 species